rnacentral:rRNA from 1 species
GACGAACGCUGGCGGCGUGCUUAACACAUGCAAGUCGAGCGGUAAGGCCCUUUCGGGGUACACGAGCGGCGAACGGGUAGAGUAACACGUGGGUGACCUGCCUUUAGCUCUGGGAUAAGCCUGGGAAACUGGGUCUAAUACCGGAUACGACUCCGCGGUGCAGUGCUGUGGGGUGGAAAGCCUUGUGCGGCUGGAGAUGGGCCCGCGGCCUAUCAGCUUGUU